CCUACGGGAGGCAGCAGUGGGGAAUAUUGCACAAUGGGGGAAACCCUGAUGCAGCGACGCCGCGUGAGUGAAGAAGUAUUUCGGUAUGUAAAGCUCUAUCAGCAGGGAAGAAAAUGACGGUACCUGACUAAGAAGCCCCGGCUAACUACGUGCCAGCAGCCGCGGGAAUACGUAGGGGGCAAGCGGUAUCCGGAUUUACUGGGUGGAAAGGGAGCGUAGACGGCCAGACAAGUCAGAAGUGAAAGCCCAGGGCUCAACCCUGGGACUGCUUUUGAAACUGCCGGGCUGGAGUGCAGGAGAGGUAAGCGGAAUUCCUAGUGUAGCGGUGAAAUGCGUAGAUAUUAGGAGGAACACCAGUGGCGAAGGCGGCUUACUGGACUGUAACUGACGUUGAGGCUCGAAAGCGUGGGGAGCAAACAGGAUUAGAUACCCCAGUAGUC
rnacentral:rRNA from 1 species